rnacentral:sRNA from 1 species
AAGCGUAAGGUGGCUGAAAAUGCCAAGUU